GACAGAGGGUGCAAACGUUGUUCGGAAUUACUGGGCGUAAAGCGCGUGUAGGCAGCUUAGCAAGUCGGAUGUGAAAGCCCUGGGCUCAACCUAGGAAGUGCAUUCGAAACUGCUGAGCUAGAGUUCUGGAGAGGAAGGCGGAAUUCUCGGUGUAGAGGUGAAAUUCGUAGAUAUCGGGAGGAACACCGGUGGCGAAGGCGGCCUUCUGGACAGCAACUGACGCUGAGACGCGAAAGCGUGGGGAGCAAACAGG
rnacentral:rRNA from 1 species